GUUUCUACGUUGAAUGUUUCUACAGGAAUGACGAGUGGGACUGUUACAGCAGGUUUUAAUUGAGCAGAGAUGUUUCUAUUGGUCUGGCAAGUGAGGAUGUUUCUACAGAUCUGAUGAGUCGGGCUGUUACUGCUGGUCUGUCUCUUGGUAUGAGGAUUCCAGAGCCAAUCAGAUCAACUUUGCACCAGUUUAACAUUCUGCUCCACUGGUGUUAAAUGGCUGAAUACAUCCUACUACUUGUGUCAGUUAGAUGGCAAGAAACUCUUCAAUUAUCACCUACUGCAUGUCUUUCUACUACAAUGGAACUUGCAGUGGGUUCCUCGAGACUCUUAGGUUGUUUGCUUUGGUUCAGUCUUCAGUGAUCACGGUCUGCGUCAUGUCUUCUAAAAUGGAACUUUAAGGUAUGAGAGUUUCUUUAUCUUGUUUUUCA